GAGCUUGAGCCAGGGUGGACAGUUAGGCCCUAAAGGCUGCCAGGGAAGGAGCUCUGGAUCAAAAUAGCUGUAACUUGAGCUACUGACUGGGACCAGUGGAAAUGAGGACUGGGAGUAAGUGGCUAAAGGCUUGCAAGGACCUCAGCACUGGGAUGAGAAGUGUUUUAAUUAUACUGCCAGUGUGCUUAAAGCUUUUGUUAUAGUCAGUGGGCUUAUUCUUUUGUUGGUGCUUACCAACAGUGGACCAGAUCUGG